rnacentral:ncRNA from 1 species
AUUUCAUAAGGUGAUGGCGUUCCACCUUACCUUAACCGCCCUCAGGGCUGAUGACGCCUGUCAUAAC